rnacentral:lncRNA from 1 species
UCCCUCAUUUUGCAGGUGAGGCACCUGAGUCUCAGAGAGGGGAAGUGACUUGCUCAAGGUCACACAACCAGGAGGUAGAAGAAGCAGGACUCCAGCCCCAGGACUUGUGACUGUGAAGUGAAGAGUUCUUGAUACUGAAGCAUACCACCUCGAGCUCUAGGAGCCAAGCCCAGGCCCUCCUUGUUCUCUGAGUGGUCUCUCUUCGGCCUUCGAGGGGCCUACCUGCAGGUGAGGAGGCCCUCUUUGGGCAUGUUUCUGCAGCCUGUUCCCUUUCUUUCCCAUUACCUGCCCACAAUUUUGACCUUUGCCUCCAUAGUAACCUCAUUGUUCCUUUGGUGUCUCUCUCUGUAGCCCAGGGCUCUGGCCUGCCAUCUUUCUCUCUUUCCACUGGAGAAGGCACUGAAGUGUUUGGGACCAAUGAAGGUCGGCCCAACUCCAAGUCAGCCCCCAUUUGUUUGGCUCCUCCUGCUUGUUGGAGGGGAACGGGAAGGGAUCUGUGUCCUCCAGGAGGUCUGUCAGCUGGCAUCGGGACAACAUCUGGUUCCUUCCUCAGGAGGGUCUCCACACAAGACCAACAGAAAUAUCACCGUCAGAGGGAGCUGUCAGGCACACCAUGUUUGAGAUGUGAAAGCACCUGGGUGAUGAAUUGGGGCUGGGAGGUGGGGAAAUCGAAGCAAGACAAAUGGGAUGGAGUUUCAUAAGCCAAUUCUUCCCAUGUAGGUAUUAACUUAGAAGAAUCAGUACCAGCCAUACCCUGAUGCCAGCUAUUGUCGAAUAAACGUAUUGGUUCUACAGUUCCGAAAACCA